GGUUAAGCGACUAAGCGUACACGGUGGAUGCCCUGGCAGUCAGAGGCGAUGAAGGACGUGCUAAUCUGCGAUAAGCGCCGGUAAGGUGAUAUGAACCGUUAUAACCGGCGAUUUCCGAAUGGGGAAACCCAGUGUGACUCGUCACACUAUCAUUAACUGAAUCCAUAGGUUAAUGAGGCGAACCGGGGGAACUGAAACAUCUAAGUACCCCGAGGAAAAGAAAUCAACCGAGAUUCCCCCAGUAGCGGCGAGCGAACGGGGAGGAGCCCAGAGCCUGAAUCAGCAUGUGUGUUAGUGGAAGCGUCUGGAAAGGCGCGCGAUACAGGGUGACAGCCCCGUACACAAAAGCGCAUGUGCUGUGAGCUCGAUGAGUAGGGCGGGACACGUGGUAUCCUGUCUGAAUAUGGGGGGACCAUCCUCCAAGGCUAAAUACUCCUGACUGACCGAUAGUGAACCAGUACCGUGAGGGAAAGGCGAAAAGAACCCCGGCGAGGGGAGUGAAAAAGAACCUGAAACCGUGUACGUACAAGCAGUGGGAGCACAGGUUUACCUGUGUGACUGCGUACCUUUUGUAUAAUGGGUCAGCGACUUAUAUUCUGUAGCAAGGUUAACCGAAUAGGGGAGCCGGAGGGAAACCGAGUCUUAAUUGGGCGUUAAGUUGCAGGGUAUAGACCCGAAACCCGGUGAUCUAGCCAUGGGCAGGUUGAAGGUUGGGUAACACUAACUGGAGGACCGAACCGACUAAUGUUGAAAAAUUAGCGGAUGACCUGUGGCUGGGGGUGAAAGGCCAAUCAAACCGGGAGAUAGCUGGUUCUCCCCGAAAGCUAUUUAGGUAGCGCCUCGUGAAUUCAUCUCCGGGGGUAGAGCACUGUUUCGGCUAGGGGGCCAUCCCGGCUUACCAACCCGAUGCAAACUGCGAAUACCGGAGAAUGUUAUCACGGGAGACACACGGCGGGUGCUAACGUCCGUCGUGAAGAGGGAAACAACCCAGACCGCCAGCUAAGGUCCCAAAGUCAUGGUUAAGUGGGAAACGAUGUGGGAAGGCCCAGACAGCCAGGAUGUUGGCUUAGAAGCAGCCAUCAUUUAAAGAAAGCGUAAUAGCUCACUGGUCGAGUCGGCCUGCGCGGAAGAUGUAACGGGGCUAAACCAUGCACCGAAGCUGCGGCAGCGA
rnacentral:rRNA from 1 species